GACAGAGGGUGCGAACGUUUGUUCGGAAUUACUGGGCGUAAAGCGCAUGUAGGCGGCAGCGCAAGUCGGGCGUGAAAUCCCACGGCUCAACCGUGGAAGUGCACUCGAAACUGCGCAGCUAGAGUCCUGGAGAGGAAGGUGGAAUGCUUGGUGUAGAGGUGAAAUUCGUAGAUAUCAAGCGGAACACCGGUGGCGAAGGCGGCCUUCUGGACAGUGACUGACGCUGAGAUGCGAAAAGCGUGGGGAGCAAACAGGGAUUAAGAA
rnacentral:rRNA from 1 species